AAGCGUGCGCAGGCGGUUUUGUAAGUCAGAUGUGAAAUCCCCGAGCUCAACUUGGGAACUGCGUUUGAAACUACAAGACUAGAAUAUGUCAGAGGGGGGUAGAAUUCCACGUGUAGCAGUGAAAUGCGUAGAGAUGUGGAGGAAUACCAAUGGCGAAGGCAGCCCCCUGGGAUAAUAUUGACGCUCAUGCACGAAAGCGUGGGGAGCAAACAGGAUUAGAUACCCUGGUAGUCCACGCCCUAAACGAUGUCUACUAGUUGUUGGUGGAGUAAAAUCCAUGAGUAACGCAGCUAACGCGUGAAGUAGACCGCCUGGGGAGUACGGUCGCAAGAUUAAAACUCAAAUGAAUUGACGGGGGCCCGCACAAGCGGUGGAUUAUGUGGAUUAAUUCGAUGCAACGCGAAAAACCUUACCUGGCCUUGACAUGUAACGAACUUUCCAGAGAUGGAUUGGUGCUCGAAAGAGAGCGUUAACACAGGUGCUGCAUGGCUGUCGUCAGCUCGUGUCGUGAGAUGUUGGGUUAAGUCCCGCAACGAGCGCAACCCUUGCCAUUAAUUGCCAUCAUUUAGUUGGGCACUUUAAUGGGACUGCCGGUGACAAACCGGAGGAAGGUGGGGAUGACGUCAAGUCCUCAUGGCCCUUAUGGCCAGGGCUUCACACGUAAUACAAUGGUCGGUACAGAGGGUUGCCAAGCCGCGAGGUGGAGCCAAUCCCAGAAAGCCGAUCGUAGUCCGGAUUGUAGUCUGCAACUCGACUACAUGAAGUCGGAAUCGCUAGUAAUCGCGGAUCAGCAUGUCGCGGUGAAUACGUUCCCGGGGCCUUGUACACACCGCCCGUCACACCAUGGGAGUGGGUUUUACUCAGAAGUAGGUAGUCUAACCUUCGGGAGAACGCUUACCACGGUAGUAUUCAUGACUGGGGUGAAGUCGUAACAAGGUAA
rnacentral:rRNA from 1 species